AGAUUUCAGUUUAGUAUUACAAGGAUAGGAAUGAUAAAUGCAUUAGUACUGUUGGGCUUUCUUAAAUGUUGUUGGGUUUUCUUAAAUGUUGUUUGGGGUUCGGUGGUGGUAGCGAAAAAACACGAUAUAUUUUAAUUUUAUGUUCCUCUUAACACAGGAAAACUAGGAGAGAUGGUGCAAACUGAUGGCCAAAGUUGUGGUGCUUUGCAAGGUAACACAUAUGUCCCUGGCCUAUCUUUAUGUAUCAUGAUGUUUCUAUUUGUAUACAAAUGCAGUAAUGCUUAUUACAAAGCCAGUGCCCUUUUUAGGCAACCAAAUCAAAUGAUCUUGUGUAUCAUGGUUUUUUUCCAACAAAGCAUCCUAGAUCAAAUAGUUGUGUGAAUAAGCGAAUGAUACAAGUAUUAAGCUUUACAGAUCUGUUCAAGCGUGUACCUUUUCUUUUACAUUUGCUUGCUCCUUUUGUCAUUUGAAACUGGCAGUGAACAUGUAAAGUAAUUCAAAAGGGACAAUUCUUCUGAUUUGUAUAUCUAUCUCAGCCCUUGCUUGAAAACCUAAAAAUUGACUUGCAUCCUUAUCAGACGACACUUUCUCUUCCUUAUUUCAUAGAACAAAGCAAUUGAAAUUGGAUAUAGAACAAGUCAAACAAAUGCACUUCAUAUAUAGUCUAGGGUGAUUAGAAUCUUACCAAUCCUAACGGAAAUGACUAAUAGGUUUAUUCAUCCAGACCCACAUUUAAGACCAUAGGGAAGAUAUUUGAUAUUCAUAAUCUGCAUGUCUUACAGAUUCACUUAAAAUAUUCAAAGUGCAAAGUACCUAGGAGUUGGUAUCUUCUUGUAGCUUCAUGUGCUCAUAUCAAUGUUGGAUUUUUUUUCAAUUUUUAGGUACCUAAUAUGGCUAAAUGCGUAAUGAAAAGGUCUGUCUUCCUAGCCUCCUAGAUCCAAGAUUUGCACGAAUAAGCGAAGGAUAUUUGUUUCAAAGCCUCUGUUACGAGUGAAAAAUGUGGCAAUGGAAGUAAGGAGUCACAGCUUACUUCUAUUCGGAUUCCAUCUCUACUAGGACAAUCCUGAUAUCCUUAUCAUCAUUUAUAUUCAAUUCCUUGGAGAUUCAUAAAGAAGGCAUGUGCAAAAUAUCUGAAUCUGGAACAGAUCUACACUUGAGGUUUUUUAUUGCAUUUUCUGUAUCUUAUUCUUUUGUAGGAAUGCAUCCAUAAUUUCGGUUUAAAAUUUGUUUGGAUGGUUCAGAAUCUUCAGAUGGCAUGGAUGAGACAUAAUUUGUUGUAUUCGGAUAUUUUUCAUGGUUACAAGUUAGGAAAUUUUGGUUCUAUUGCCAGAGCAUACUUUAUCUUUUCAUUUCCAUCAAUCCAUCUUGAUGUGUGAUCGGGUCGCUGUGUGAUGUUGUUAGCUAUUGAUAUGGUGUCUGUUUACAUCUGUUCAUAAGUACACUCUUUGACUAUUGUUUAUUUGAGACAUAUAGCAAGCACAAGAAAAAUCUGCGUGUGAAUUCCUAGAUAGCUUUUGAUAUUUUGGUCCUCUGGCCUUGUUCACACAUAGUGACUAACAGCCUUGGAAAAUUGGAUGGUCCUUGUGUCGGUACUUUACCAGAUUAUCGCAGAUAAAUUGCAAGAACCGGAAAUAUGUAGCUCCAGAAUUAGGGAACUAGAAAUAACUGAUUAUUUUCGCCAGAAAAUAGCUAGGUUUUUAUAGACCUUCAUUAUUAUAUACUUUUGCAUUUGCUGCAUUCUUUCUUUCAAGUUGUUUCAUUAUUUUUCCAUGUUAUCAUUAGGAUGCCCAGUGUAUUUCUGUUCAUAUGUACAUGCAUUGUGUAUGGUUUAUUUGUCCUAUCUGCCAGUGUCUAAGCGUGACAAGCAGCAAAGAGGGAGGGGGUAUUUCAAAUACAAAGCAAAAUGUGCACAAAAUAGAUGCGCCUCACACUGUCAUAGUAUAGACUGGAACAAAAUACACAUUGUAUAUAUAUAAUUACUACUAUUAUCCAGUGCUCAUGAUUUAUGUUCACAUAGAUACAUGGUAACAACAACAUACCUGGUAUUAUGGACAAUGACUACUCCAUUGCCACAACUGUAGAAUACACCAGACUGGCCAAAAGUGCUCCACUGCCUCAACUGUAGAAUACACCGGACUGGCCAAAAGUUGUCCAUAGCCACAACUAUAGAACACACUGGACCGACCAAAAGAUGCCUACAUAUGACCAAUAACUACAGAUAUGCUCUCCUGGACCAUGGUUUGUUGUUUAACCACUGUUACCUGACCAAAAAUUCAAAAACCACUGUCACCUCUUUUCUGAAUCAGAAGAUGGCUGACUCUCUGAUAUACUACUAGAAAAAAGCAUAGCCCAAAAAGCAUGAAUGAAUGAUGGAUCUGAACAUGUACUUCAUUAGUGAUGUGCAUAGCACAAAAAAUAUGGAUGGCAAUACAUGGCUGACGGAAAUGGUAACUUCAAAAAUUACAUGACAACCAAAACUUUAUGCAAGUCUAUGAAGAAAAUCAUUGUAUCAUUUUUCUUUAAUUAAUUUCGAAACAUACCUUCCUCUUGCAGCAGUCUUGCUCAUUCGGCCCUUCAACAGCAGUUCACCGAUUAGUUUAUCAGUCGGCGGCGGCAGCAGUGGUCUUCAGCACGGCAGCAGGCAGCACGAGCGGAGAAGGUAGUGAGAGAAGGAGAAGAAGCAGCAGAAACUAGCAGACACCCCGCACCCGUUGUGGCGGCCUGGAGGGGCGGCGAGAGUUGGCAAGGCAGGCGGCCAAUGGUUGGCAGUAGUGAGAAGCGAGUGAAAGACCUGGUUGACUUGGGGAAAGGAGGAGAACAGAGGACUGGUCGAUUUAGGGAAAGAAGAGCAGAUAAGGUUUGGUAGAUUUGGGGGAAAGGAGGAGGAGAGACGAGCGUGCGUGACAGCAGGUAGUCGGUGUAUUGGGCUUGGAUAUAUUUGAGCUGGGCCAAAUGCUUAUAGUGUACUUAAUUAUCCUUUUCAAUUAUGAAAUGGUGGGUCGUGGCACCCAUUUUAAUUUUGCAUGUUCUGUUAGGUUGCCUUCUGUAUGCCAGUUAGUAUUCAGUUUUCUUUUCUUUUGUUUGUUUGUAUUUCUUAAAAGCUAAUGUUGUUGCACAGUUUUUUUAACCUUUUCUUUUUGCUGGGAGAAAGAUGAUGCUCUUUCUUAGAAAAUUACUUAUUAGAUGGAACGGUAGUCACCUUGCAAAGUUCUUCCACCAAAUGUUUUUGUGUGUGCAACUUAUGAUCGGUUUUUCUAUUCAUUUAUUCUACAGUUUUAUUCUGCAGAAA
rnacentral:lncRNA from 1 species